CUUGAGUGGGCGUGGCUGUCCGCGAUGUCUGCAUCUGAGGGAUUAAAACGUAGGGUGGGAUGAGCUAAAACGUUAGCAAUGUAUUUAAAGACAUGGUCAGCAUAACUGAAGAAAAAGAUUAUCAGAACGGAAAAAUGGGGUUCAAAGAGACGAAAGGUGUCAGAACAUGUCCAACCCUAGCCAAGGAGAGAGAGACAAUAUUUGAAGGACAGGGUCAGGGUAGUAAAUUGGCGUCCCUGGCCAACGUCAUUAGCACAAAUGGGCACUGGGAUCAAACUUAGUAGCCUUGGGUAUAUUGAAAACAUGCCGUUUCUAGACCUGGAAAAAAAAAAGCCGUGUUUCAGCUCAGAGGCUACCCGAGCUGUUCUGAUGAAGCAAGCGGAGCACCUCAGUUUCCAAAACCCGGAAGUCUGUAACGAAACGAACAAAAAUGGGUUUUGUCAUGUUGCCCAUGGUCUGGAACUCCUGGGCUGGAAUUCCUGGGCUCAAGCCGUCUGCCUGCCUUGCCCUCCCAAAGCCUGGGAUUACAGAUAUGAGCUGCCGCAGUCGGCCCAUUCUUUUCUAUUGCUGGGUAGUGUUCCAUUAUAUGGAUAUACCACAAUUUGUUUCACCAUUCACCAAUUGAUGGACACUUGGGAUAUUAGAUAUAAAGUGCUAAUAACAUUUAUGUACAAGUCUUGGUGAACAUAUGCAUUCAUUUCUAUUGAAUAAAUACUUUAGGAUUGGAAUGGCUGUGUCAUAGGUUAUGUAUAUGUAUA
rnacentral:lncRNA from 1 species